AUACGGAGGAUGCAAGCGUUAUCCGGAUUUAUUGGGUUUAAAGGGUGCGCAGGCGGAAAAUUAAGUCAGUGGUGAAAUCCUACAGCUUAGCUGUAGAACUGCCAUUGAUACUGAUUUUCUUGAGUGCAUUUGAGGUAGGCGGAAUGUGUAAUGUAGCGGUGAAAUGCUUAGAUAUUACACAGAACACCGAUUGCGUAGGCAGCUUACUAAACUGUUACUGACGCUCAGGCACGAAAGCGUGGGGAGCGAACAGGAUUAGAAACCCCAGUAGUCC
rnacentral:rRNA from 1 species